UUUGUCUGUCGCUGCAGCCGGAGUUCCAGGUCUUGUCCUCACUUCUCUGUGUCUUCUGCUCCUAGAGGCCCAGCCUUGGCGGCCCUGUGACCUGCAGGUAUUGGGAGAUCCACAGCGAAGACGCCGGGACCCCCUGCAAGCCUAGAAAUGGGACCACUGACAUUCAGGGAUGUGGCCAUAGAAUUCUCUCUGGAGGAGUGGCAAUGCCUGGACACUGCACAGCGGAAUUUAUAUAGAAAUGUGAUGUUAGAGAACUACAGAAACCUGGUCUUCCUGGGAAUUGCUGUCUGUAAGCCAGACCUGAUCAUUUGUUUGGAGCAAGAAAAAGAGGUCUGGAGUAGGAAGAGCCAGGAGAUCAUGGUGGCCAAGCCCCCAGUUAUGCGUUCUCAUUUUGCCCAACACCUUUGGCCAGGGAAGAAUAUAAAAGAUUCUUUCCAAAAAGUGACACUGGAAAGAUACGGAAAAUGUAGAAGUGAGAAUUUACCAUUAACAAAAGGCUAUAAAAGUGUGUGUGAGUGUAAGGUGCAAAAAGGAGUUGAUGAUGGACUCAACCAAUGUUUGAGAACUACCCAGAGCAGAGUAUUUCAAUGUGAUAAAUAUGUGAAAGUCUUUCAUAAGUUUUCAAAUUCAAGCAGACGUAAGAUAAGACAUACUAAAAAGAAACCUUUCAAAUGUAGAGAAUGUGGCAAAUCAUUUUGCAUGAAUUCAUACCUAACUCGACAUAGCAGAAUUCAUACUAGAGUAAAUUUCUACAAAUGUGAAGAAUGUGGAAAAGCCUUUAACUUGCCCUCAACCCUUACUCAACAUAAGAGAAUUCAUAUGGGAGGAAAACCCUACAAAUGUGAAGAAUGUGGCAAAGCUUUUAACCGGUCCUCAAGACUGACUCAACAUAAGAAAAUUCAUACCGGAGAGAAGCCCUACAAAUGUGAAGAAUGUGGCAAAGCUAUUAACCAGUCUUUAACUGUUACUACACAUAAGAAAAUUCAUACUGAAGAGAAACCCUACGAAUGUGAAGAAUGUUGCAAAGCCUUUAAGCACUCCUCAAAGCUUUCUAAACAUAAGAUAAUUCAUACUGCAGAGAAAUCCUACGAAUGGGAAGAAUGUGAAAAAGCCUUUAAGAAGUCUUUUUACCUUACUAUACCUGGGAGAAUUCAUACUGGAGAGAAACUCUAUAGAUGUGAGCAAUGUGGCAAAGCUUUUAAGCAAUCUGAAACACUUCGUGCACAUAAGCGAAUUCUUACUGAAGUGAAACCUUACAAAUGUGAAGAAUAUGGCAAAGAGUUUAUGUACUCCUCAACCCUUUCUAUACAUAAGAGUAUUCAUACUGGAGAGAAACCAUACAAAUGUGAAGAAUGUGACAUAGCUUUUACCCAAUCUGUAAACCUUAGUACUCAGAAGAAAAUUCAUACUGGAGAGAAACCCUACAGAUGUGAAGAUUGUGGAAAAGCUUUCAAGCAGGCUGCACAUGUUAUUGUACGUAUGAAAAUUCAUACUGAAGAGAAACCCUACAGAUGUGAAGAAUGUGGGAAAGCCUUUACGAAUUCCUCUAACCUUACACAACAUAGGAAAAUUCAUACUGGAGAGAAACCCUACACAUGUGAAGAAUGUAGCAAAGCCUUCAAUUGGUGCUCACAUUUUACUAUGCAUAAGACAGUUCAUACUGGAGAGAAACCCUACCAAUGUGAAGAAUGUGGGAAAGCCUUUACAACUUCCUCUAUCCUUACUAAACAUGAGAAAAUUCAUACUGGAGAGAAACUGUAUAGAUGUGAAGAAUGUGGAAAAGCCUUUACGCAUUCCUCUAACCUUAUUAGACAUAAGAAAAUUCACACAGGAGAGAAACCCUACAGAUGUGAAGAAUGUGGAAAAGCCUUUAAACAUUCCUCUUACCUUAUUAAACAUAAGAAAAUUCAUACAGGAGAGAAACCCUACAGUUGUGAAGAUUGUGGAAAAGCUUUUACCCGAUCUGAAACCCUUACUGCACAUAAGAAAAUUCAUACUGGAGAGAAAUCCUACAGAUGUGAAGAAUGUGGAAAAGCCUUUACGCAUUCCUCUAACCUUAUUAAACAUAAGAAAAUUCAUACUGGAGAGAAACCCUACAGAUGUGAAGAUUGUGGAAAAGCUUUUACCCGAUCUCAAACCCUUACUACACAUAAGAAAAUUCAUACUGGCGAGAAACCCUACAGAUGUGAAGAAUGUGGAAAAGUCUUUACGCAUUCCUCUAAUCUUAUUAAACAUAAGAAAAUUCAUACAGGAGAGAAACCCUACAGAUGUGAAGAUUGUGGAAAAGCUUUCAAGCAGGCCGCACAUGUUAUUACACAUAUGAAAAUUCAUACUGGAGAGAAACCCUACGGAUGUGAAGAAUGUGGGAAAGCCUUUACGACUUCCUCUAAACUUACUAAACAUAAGAAAAUUCAUACUGGACAGAAACCCUACAGAUGUGAAGAUUGUGGAAAAGUUUUUACCCAAUCUACAACCCUUCCAACACAUAAAAAAAUCCAUACUGGAGAGAGAUCCUACAGAUGUGAAGGAUACAGCAAAACUUUUACCCGGUCUGAAACACUUACUACACAUAAGAAAAUUCAUACUGGAGAGAAACCCUACAGAUGUGAAGAAUGUGGAACAGCUUUUACAACUUCCUCUAACCUUACUAAACAUAAGAAAAUUCAUACAGGAGAGAAAUCCUACAGAUGUGAAGAUUGUGGAAAAGCUUUCACCUGAUCUGAAACCCUUACUACACAUCAGAAAAUUCAUACUGGAGGGAAACCAUACAGAUGUGAAGAAUGUGGAAAAGCCUUUACAAAUUCCUCUAAUCUUACUAAACAUAGGAAAAUUCAUACUGGAGAGAAGCCCUACAGAUGUGAAGAAUAUGGCAAAAACUUUCCUUCAUUUUCAAGCCUAUGUAGACAUAAGAUAAUUCAUACUGGAGAGAAACCCUAUGAAUGUAAUAAAUGUAGGAGAGCCUUUAACCAGCUCUCAACUCUGACUAAAUAUGAGAAUUUAUAUGAAACAUAGACCCUAAAAAUAUAAGGAAUGUGACCAAGUGUUUAAGGAAGAUCUCAACCUUCAUUA